rnacentral:lncRNA from 10 species
GCCUAUUAAGGCAUCAAGUGCCAGGAAUGGAGUUGAACAUAUUCAUAAUACAGUUAACAAUGCAAAUGAAGCAACAGUUCCAGGUCGGAGAAAAUGCCGAUGCUUACCUGAGAAAUUCGGGCUCCAUUGUAUUGUGUCUGUCCUGCAAUUGACUCACAGUGAGUUAUCUUGUAGAAAAGUGGCAUAUUUGCAUAUUUAGAUCCUGCCUGGGAUAAGCAAGAGAAAUACAUGUUCUGGCUUUCUGAAAUGAAAUUGAGAGAGAAAAAGGGGGCACAUAUUGCUCAAUAUGCUCAUUUAUUCAUUAAAAAUACAAGUAUGUACAUCUCUCAGGCCUUCAUUGGGCAACUGCCCUUGGGAGAAAAUAGAGACAAAUAAGAAUAAUAAAAAGCCAGCAGCCCUGUCCUGAUGGAACUUAAGAUCUAGUGGGAGAAUCAGAAAUAAAUUGAAUAAUUACCCACGUUAAUAUAAAAUUGCAAAUGUAAUAAGACCCUCAAGAAGAGGUACCAGGAUUUCUGAAAGCACAGAGUAGAAGAAUUUGAACCAGUUGGGGACUUCCCUGAGAAACUGAAAUUAGGCUGAGGUGGGCAGUGUUCACACUUGCUCGCUGCCUAAUCUGGGACAGCACUGCCGACAGCUUGACCUGCAUUUCUCCAAGUCUCCACAACUAAUUUUAUAAUCCCUACAACUUCUGGGAGAGGUGCAAGUAUCAACCAGUUGGAGACACAGGGAAAGGGUGAUAUAAUGCAGAAAGUGACUUGAACAAAUUUACACAGAAGGCAGUGAAGUGUGAUUCAAAUUCAAGCAGUCUAGACUGUGCCCCACACAACUCUGCAGCAUAACCUUGCAGUAUGAAAAUAAUGCCUCUCAUGCAGAUCAGGGAUAUGAGAUCCAGUGACUUACCCAAAGUUUCAAAGGAAAGAUGUAACAGAGCCAUCUCUGAACUUCUGCUCUUGGGAAUCUACACACUCUUUCCACUAGUUCUGACCUUAGCAGGUGUUUGACCCA